AUGAGCUUCACCACUCACUCCGCCUUCUACACCAACUACCGGUCCCUGGGCUCUGUCCAGGCACCCAGCUACGACUCCUGGCUGGUGAGCAGCAUGGCCAGCGUCUGUGCAGGCGCCGGGAGCUCUGGCUGCCGAAUCUCCAUGUCCCGCUCCACCAGCUUCUGGGGCAGCAUGAGGUCCGGGGGCCUGACUGCGGGGAUGGCCGGGGUUCUGGCAGGAAUGGGAGGCAUCCAGACCGAGGAGACCAUGCAAAACCUGACAACCACCUGGUCUCCUACCUGGACAGAGUGAGGAGCCUGGAGACCGAGAACCGGAGGCUAGAGAGCAAAAUCCGGGAGCACCUGGAGAAGCAGGGACCCCAGGUCAGAGACUGGAGCCAUUAUUUCAAGACCAUUGAGGACCUGAGGGCUCAGAUCUUCACAAAUAUUGUGGACAAUGCGUUCUGCAGACUGACAAUGCCCAUCUUGCUGCUGAUGACUUUAGAGUCAAGUAUGAGACAGAGCUGGCCACGUGCCAGCCUCUGAAGAACAACAUCCAUGGGAACAAAAUCCAUGACACUAAUGUCACUCGGCUGCAGCUGGAGAUAGAUUGAGGCUCUCAAGGAGGAGCUGCUCUUCAUGAAGAAGAACCACGAAGAGGAAGUAAAAGGCCUACAAGCCCAGACUGCCAGCUCUGGGUUGACUGUGGAGGUAGAUGUCCCCAAAUCUCAGGACCUCACCAAGAUAAUGGCAGACAUCCGGGCCCAAUAUGAUGAGCUGGCAUGAAGAACCAAUAGGUGCUGGACAAGUACUGGUCUUAACAGAUUGAGGAGAGCAACACAGGGGUCACCACGCAGUCCGUCGAGGUUGGAGCUGCUAUAACGCUCACGGAGCUGAGACAUACAGUCCAGUCCUUGGAGAUCAACCUGGACUCCAUGAGAAAUCUGAAGGCCAGCUUGGAGAACAGCCUGAGGGAGGUGGAGGCCUGCCACGCCCUGCAGAUGGAGCAGCUCAACGGGAUCCUGCUGCACCUGGAGUCAGAGCUGGCACAGGCCUGGGCAGAGGGACAGUGCCAGGCCCAGGAGUACGAGGCCCUGCUGAACAUCAGGGUCAAGCUAGAGGCUGAGAUCGCCACCUACCGCCGCCUGCUGGAAGAUGGCAAGGACUUCAAUCUUGGUGAUGCCCUGGACAGCAGCAACUCCAUGCAAACCAUCCAAAAGACCACUAUCUGCUGGAUAGUGGAUGGCAAAGUGGUAUCUGAGACCAACGACACCCAAGUUCUGAGACAUUAA
rnacentral:lncRNA from 1 species